CGGUCAUUACUCAUUUAAACGCCGGUUCUCUUACGAUCACCAAAGUUAAGCAAAGUCGAAUCUGGUCAGUAUCUAGAUGAGUGACCACUUGGGAAUACCAGGU